UACAGAGGUCCCAAGCGUUGUUCGGAUUCACUGGGCGUAAAGGGUGCGUAGGCGGCUUGAUAAGUCAGUGGUGAAAGCCGAUCGCUUAACGAUCGAACUGCCAUUGAUACUGCCAGGCUUGAGUAUAGUUGAGGUAGGCGGAAUUGACAGUGUAGCGGUGAAAUGCGCAGAUAUCAGGAGGAACACCAGUGGCGAAGGCGGCACUCUGGGCCGGUACUGACGCUGAGGAGCGAAAGCGUGGGGAGCGAACAGG
rnacentral:rRNA from 1 species